GCCCUCUCAGGGUUGCACUUGGAGAGUUUUCAGAACUCUGCCAGUCACAGCUAUAGGAGGAAGAGUUAAGCAGAGGCAUAACCAUUCUAUUCCUAGCUUGGGCAGUGGCUAGUGAGUAGAUGGCAAUCUGCUAUAAGU